rnacentral:rRNA from 1 species
GUCGUCAGCUCGUGUCGUGAGAUGUUGGUAAGUCCGCAACGAGCGCAACCCUCGACCUUAGUUGCCAGCAUUCAGUUGGGCACUCUAAGGUGACUGCCGGCUAAAAGUCGGAGGAAGGUGGGGAUGACGUCAAAUCAUCAUGCCCCUUAUGACCUGGGCUACACACGUGCUACAAUGGGCGGUACAAAGGGUCGCGAACCCGCGAGGGGGAGCCAAUCCCAAAAAGCCGCUCUCAGUUCGGAUUGCAGGCUGCAACUCGCCUGCAUGAAGCCGGAAUCGCUAGUAAUCGCGGAUCAGCAUGCCGCGGUGAAUACGUUCCCGGGCCUU